UCUAAAAUUGAGAUUGAAGUACAGCUCCGGCUGAGCGAAUCUUGUAAGGAUUCAGUUUCGAGAUAGACGUUGGAAUGAACAGUAGUUCAAAAGUGUUCACAAGUUUGUGUGAAAGUGCUGGAAAAAUGGCCACAUCCGACCACUAUCAGAUGUUCCUGUAAAAAGUUAUUCUGCAGAAUAUUACCAGCUCUAUGAGAAAAGUAAACGAAUCAACAGAACAGGCUAAUUACAGGUUCCAAAGUAUUAUUGCAUUUAAUUUUAUACCGAAAAUAAACAUAUGAAGUUUCUGUUUUUGCGUAAAUUUGCCUAUUGAUGUUAUAAAGUAAUCAAUAAAUUUGAUAAUAAUGA